AGGAGUGUGGAGUGGGAGUGGGAGUAGGGUGUUUACUUAGACUAAAUGAAAGUAUGGAUUAUCAAUCAGAAUCCUAAUUAUUUGUUUACUUUGUCUUGGAUUUGGAGUAAAUUAUUUUAAAUUACAAUUUUAUCCUUAUGUACAGAAUUAUAA
rnacentral:pre_miRNA from 1 species